rnacentral:rRNA from 1 species
AGAGUUUGAUCCUGGCUCAGUAAGUCGUAACAAGGUAACCAUAGAGUUUGAUCCUGGCUCAGGACGAACGCUGGCGGCGUGCCUAAUACAUGCAAGUCGAGCGGACUUAAAAAGCUUGCUUUUUAAGUUAGCGGCGGACGGGUGAGUAACACGUGGGCAACCUGCCUGUAAGACUGGGAUAACUUCGGGAAACCGGAGCUAAUACCGGAUAAUCCUUUUCUACUCAUGUAGGAAAGCUGAAAGACGGUUUACGCUGUCACUUACAGAUGGGCCCGCGGCGCAUUAGCUAGUUGGUGAGGUAACGGCUCACCAAGGCGACGAUGCGUAGCCGACCUGAGAGGGUGAUCGGCCACACUGGGACUGAGACACGGCCCAGACUCCUACGGGAGGCAGCAGUAGGGAAUCUUCCGCAAUGGACGAAAGUCUGACGGAGCAACGCCGCGUGAGUGAUGAAGGUUUUCGGAUCGUAAAACUCUGUUGUUAGGGAAGAACAAGUACGAGAGUAACUGCUCGUACCUUGACGGUACCUAACCAGAAAGCCACGGCUAACUACGUGCCAGCAGCCGCGGUAAUACGUAGGUGGCAAGCGUUGUCCGGAAUUAUUGGGCGUAAAGCGCGCGCAGGCGGUCCUUUAAGUCUGAUGUGAAAGCCCACGGCUCAACCGUGGAGGGUCAUUGGAAACUGGGGGACUUGAGUGCAGAAGAGAAGAGUGGAAUUCCACGUGUAGCGGUGAAAUGCGUAGAGAUGU